rnacentral:rRNA from 1 species
AACGUAGGAGCCAAGCGUUAUCCGAAUUCACUGGGCGUAAAGCGUGUGCAGGCGGCUUGAUAAGUUGGAUGUGAAAUCUCCUGGCUCAACUGGGAGAGGCCGUUCAAUACUGUCGGGCUCGAGGGCAACAGAGGGAGGUGGAAUUCCCGGUGUAGUGGUGAAAUGCGUAGAUAUCGGGAGGAACACCAGUGGCGAAAGCGGCCUCCUGGGUUGCACCUGACGCUCAGACACGAAAGCUAGGGGAGCGAACGGGAUUAGAAACCCCCGUAGUCC